UACAGAGUAGAGUGCUGCGCGUAAAGUGCCUGACGGACGGGGAGUUGCCGUCGGGACGAAAAGGACGUUCGCCCUUGCGGUGCAGUAUUCGCAUCCCGCUGAA
rnacentral:ncRNA from 2 species